CCACAGCUCGCUCUAUAUUAUGUAUUCAUAAGGAGAUUUAAAGUUGUUGGGGGCGGAAAUCCACUCGCUUUUCAUUAUAUUUUUUAAUGUUACUCAGUGCAUCGCGAGCCUGAAAACUGAACCCAAAUUGCACCCAUAUGUACAGGCUAAUCAUGGGAAACUCAUGGCCAAGAACACAGAUGUGCAUGGACAGAUUGUGGAUACACCCGUGACAGUGGAAAAUGUUACCCCAAGAGUAUGCUGUAGUUAUUGGCACGGUUACACUGAAAUUCUUUCUUCGAUGAAAUUCUGGCUUGCUUCUGCCUUUACAGCCACUACAUCAGUCUUUUUCUCUCCAGUGGAUUCACCUGACACUGUAAUUACUACAGAGAUUUUCUGAAGAAUCCAGGAUCAAUAUCGCUCUGCCAGGAAUCGAAUGCAAGCAACACAUCCCACUCUAGGCAAUCAACAGAGGAGCUCAGCUCCUUGUCUGUACAGAUACUCUCGCAACUCACAUCAUUUUACCUAUUUUUGCUGCCUUAUCUGCUUUGUUUCAGUUGGGAGAGUAUAACGGUCUAGACUUUAAACUUGGAUGGAUUAACAAGUUAUCGAGAUAAGUAUUCAGAGGCACUUGAAUGUAAAAUGCUAUUUUUUCUCAAUCUCAAAAUCUGGGUUUAACCCAUUCAAAGUUUGCUGCUGAACACCAGCCGUUGCAUUUGGCAAAAUAAAUUCACUGCUCAAUAGAGCUACCCCCAAAAGAAUUACAGUGCUCCCAGCAUCAAAGCUAAAGACAAAUUCCGCAUUCCGCUAUUAUUCUAUCGCCUCAUCAUAACUAAAGGAACUGAGAUAAAAACAGUGAUCAGUCAAUAUGAAAGGCUGCAAACGUUAAAAACUCACCACUCUAUGUAGUAAGGAUGAGUGAUUCUGCUGGUCCAGUGCAAAUGAAAACAGCUGUUUUUUGCAUAUGCAUUGAUCAAGACUACUCUCUGCAUUAAUAAACUGUUAUAAAAAAAACAUGAGUCAGAUCAGGGAACAUCAGCUUCAAAAUUUAUUUCAAUUUGUUUUACUAGUUGCAAAGAAUGAGGUGCAUGCAUUCAGAAUAUUAUAGGCUGAAGCAAGUUGAAAGCUCAGAAUCGCAGGAUGUCAAGUCAAAAUAUAUAGUUGCAAAGAUGGAAAGUGAUUCUCGAACUGUUUUUAUCUGUGAAUUGUGUAUGAGAGCUGACAGUGAAAUAACAACUGAAAAUGUUGCAAAUACUCAGCAGGUCAGCCAGCAUCUGUGGAUUGAGACCAUGAGUAGAUAUUUCUGGUCAAUGACCUUUCCUCAGAACUGGAAGAUGGCGGAGAUGCCUGGCAGGAAGAGGAGCAGAAAUUCCUCAAGGUGGAUAUUGCCGAAAGUAACGUAACAGUGGAUUAAAGUUUGAAGCAUGGAAAUCUCA